rfam:Frankia sp. ETN1f ctg00400, whole genome shotgun sequence.
GAAUCGGGAACCCGGCACCGCGCAAGCGGGUCAGACCGGGAGCGCCGUCCCACCGCGGACGGCUGCG